rnacentral:misc_RNA from 1 species
GAAAUGCGAUAAGUAGUGUGAAUUGCAGAAUUCAGUGAAUCAUCGAAUCUUUGAACGCACAUUGCGCCCCUUGGUAUUCCAUGGGGCAUGCCUGUUCGAGCGUCAUUUGUACCCUCAAGCUCUGCUUGGUGUUGGGAGUUUGUCCCCGUCUCCGCGCGUGGACUCGCCCCAAAGUGAUUGGCAGCCGGCGUACUGGUCCCGGAGCGCAGCACAUGUCGCGCAAACGAGUGCCUUGGUACGGCGGCGUCCAUAAGCCCCUCUCUCACGCUCUUGACCUCGGAUCAGGUAGGGAUACCCGCUGAACUUAAGC